GACGAACGCUGGCGGCGUGCCUAAUACAUGCAAGUAGAACGAGUGGCGAACGGGUGAGUAACGCGUGGUAACCUGCCUCAUAGCGGGGGAUAACCAUUUGAAACGGUAGCUAAUACCGCAUACCAUCAGAUGUGCCCAGAUGGGAUUAGCUAGUUGGUAGGGUAACGGCUCACCAAGGCGACGAUCCCUAGCUGGUCUGAGAGGAUGACCAGCCACACUGGAACUGAGACACGGUCCAGACUCCUACGGGAGGCAGCAGUGGGGAAUAUUGCACAAUGGGCGCAAGCCUGAUGCAGCCAUGCCGCGUGUAUGAAGAAGGCCUUCGGGUUGUAAAGUACUUUCAGCGGGGAGGCGUUACCCACAGAAGAAGCACCGGCUAACUCCGUGCCAGCAGCCGCGGUAAUUC
rnacentral:rRNA from 1 species